rnacentral:rRNA from 1 species
CUUGCAAACUGGAGAUGGCGACCGGCGCACGGGUGAGUAACACGUAUCCAACCUGCCGAUAACUCGGGGAUAGCCUUUCGAAAGAAAGAUUAAUACCCGAUGGCAUAAUAGAACCGCAUGGUUUGAUUAUUAAAGAAUUUCGGUUAUCGAUGGGGAUGCGUUCCAUUAGGCAGUUGGUGGGGUAACGGCCCACCAAACCUUCGAUGGAUAGGGGUUCUGAGAGGAAGGUCCCCCACAUUGGAACUGAGACACGGUCCAAACUCCUACGGGAGGCCAUG